rnacentral:lncRNA from 1 species
GAAAACAGCUUUGAUGAAUACUUCAAGCGCUUUGUAACACUGGAAGCGACAACAAGAGGAGAGAGAAGCUGAUUGUGCAGAAAUAAAGCCAGGCUACAUCUAAAGGUACAGCAACUGACCCCAUCUGAAGAGGAGGGAGGAAAGGAAGUUUUUUUGCUGUUGGGGAAGCAAAAGGCCUGAACUGUAAAGCCAGUGGUGAUUUGUCAGACACGCAUGAGGAAGCAGAAAAGUUCCAAGAAAACCCAAGCAUCCAAAAUCUCAAAUGAUUGUUCCACAUCAGAAAAAAAGGAGAAAAAGCAGUCUUCAAAUGUGAUUUGUGCACAUUCACCUCACUCAGCAUAUCAAGUAUUAACCAUCACAUGAAAAUUCGUUCUGAAGAAAAAUAUCAUGUGUGUCACCUCUGCCUUAAGGCUUUUCAUUCAGCUACUCUCGUGCCUAACCAUGUGAAUGCAGGUGUCCACUUGCAAAAUCUGCAUUUAUACAUGGUUGUGGAAAUUACAUACAGUUACUAUGAAGCUGUUUUUCAUGACGGUUAUGCUCUUACUCAGCACAAGACGACUUACAGAGAUGAAAAAACAUUCGUAUGUGAUCAGUGCAGCUACACAUGCAAGCAGGUAUUUAAAUUCACUGAAAAAAUAUUGCAUAUUUAA